rnacentral:rRNA from 1 species
ACACAUGCAAGUCGAGGGGCAGCAUUUUAGUUUGCUUGCAAACUGAAGAUGGCGACCGGCGCACGGGUGAGUAACACGUAUCCAACCUGCCGAUAACUCUGGAAUAGCCUUUCGAAAGAAAGAUUAAUACCGGAUGGCAUACGAAUAUCGCAUGAUAUUUUUAUUAAAGAAUUUCGGUUAUCGAUGGGGAUGCGUUCCAUUAGUUUGUUGGCGGGGUAACGGCCCACCAAGACAACGAUGGAUAGGGGUUCUGAGAGGAAGGUCCCCCACAUUGGAACUGAGACACGGUCCAAACUCCUACGGGAGGCAGCAGUGAGGAAUAUUGGUCAAUGGGCGAGAGCCUGAACCAGCCAAGUAGCGUGAAGGAUGAAGGCUCUAUGGGUCGUAAACUUCUUUUAUAUGGGAAUAAAGUUUUCCACGUGUGGAAUUUUGUAUGUACCAUAUGAAUAAGGAUCGGCUAACUCCGUGCCAGCAGCCGCGGUAAUACGGAGGAUCCGAGCGUUAUCCGGAUUUAUUGGGUUUAAAGGGAGCGUAGGCGGACGCUUAAGUCAGUUGUGAAAGUUUGCGGCUCAACCGUAAAAUUGCAGUUGAUACUGGGUGUCUUGAGUACAGUAGAGGCAGGCGGAAUUCGUGGUGUAGCGGUGAAAUGCUUAGAUAUCACGAAGAACUCCGAUUGCGAAGGCAGCUUGCUGGACUGUAACUGACGCUGAUGCUCGAAAGUGUGGGUAUCAAACAGGAUUAGAUACCCUGGUAGUCCACACAGUAAACGAUGAAUACUCGCUGUUUGCGAUAUAC